rnacentral:piRNA from 1 species
UGCUUGAAGUAGCAACCUUAUGUUGGCAGA